CCAAAAAAAAAGGUACAGAUGGGCCCACUGAAGAGAAGGAAUUGAGGAAAGUUUUUCUUGAGAAGAGACAUACCUCUAGGGCUGUGCAAAAAAUCGAAUACGAUUUUCAUGCGCAUCUCAUCAGUAAAGACGCUCCUGUAAUUAGUAGUAUAUCUCCAGCACAUGCGUUCAGAUCAAGGUUGCCAGGUUUUCACAACAAAUCCUGCCCAGUUGCUUCUCAAAACUAGUCCAAAACUAGCCCAAUCGCGUUUCCAGGAGAUUCCCCGAUAAAAAUUGCAUCCCGGGGUUAAAAUGUACGUUUUUCGGCAGGGUUCCCUUGGUAAUAUUCACAUUUUAGGGGCUAAAUAUCACGUUAUUGGUACUGGGGUUGCUUCAACCCGCGAACAUGGAAAACAACCAGAGACUUGGCAACACUGGUUAGCAUUUACUACACAGAGCCAUAAUUCACUGACAGUCUACACAAAAUCGAUUUUAAAAUCGCAGGCAAUUCUUUCUCGAUUUUGAAAGUGAUUUUGUGUAGCUUGUCGGUGGACUACGGCUCUGUGUAGUAAAUGCCGCUCCACCUGAACCAGUGUUGCCAAGUUUGCGGUUGUUUUUCAUGUCCGCGGGUUGAAGCGACCCCAAUACCAAUAACGUGAUAUUUAGCCCCUAAAAUGAGAAUUUUACCAAGGCAACCAUGCCAAAAAACGUAUAUUUUAACCCCGGGAUGCAAUUUUUUAUCGGGGAACCUCCUGGAAACGCGAUUGGGCUAGUUUUGGACUAGUUUCGAGAAGCAACUGGGCAGGAUUUGUUGUGAAAACCUGGCAACCCUGAUCUGAAUGCACGUGCUGGAGAUAUACUACUAAUUACAGGAGCGUCUUUACUGAUGAGAUGCGCAUGAAAAUCGUAUUCGAUUUUUUGCACAGCCCUACAUACCUCCAUUGAAAAGCUUGUAGAACUGACACAGGACCACCUCUCAAACUUCUCAAGACACAUUUACAACAUACAGCAUCAGUCUGAGAGACUGAGGAAUUUGAGAGAGUCCCUUACCCAGAAUGAAGUAGUAUUUCAUGUUCACAAUAAUGAGAACUACGCUUGUAAAUAUAGCAGAGAAAUAAAAGAACCUCACUUUGGAGGUGGCAAUCAGCAGGUAACUGGAGUUACUUAUUUCAGUGGGGGGAAAGUGAAGUCCUUUGCAUCCCUUUCAGACUGUCUUCAACACAAUGCCAUAGCCACAUGGGCUCACCUUGACCCAGUACUGAGGAGCAUACGAGAGGAGCAUCCAAAUGCAAGGACCAUCCACUUCAUUUCCGAUGGGCCCACAUCUCAGUAUCGGAACAAAACAAACUUUUAUCUAGCCUCAACAGUGCAAUUCAUGAGAGGAUUUAAUCAUGUAACAUGGAACUUCACAGAGGCAUCACAUGGAAAGGGUGCUCCUGAUGGAGUAGGUGGUGCCUUGAAAAACCUGGCUGACAGAAUUGUGUCCUAUGGUACCAACAUACCAGAUGCCAACACUCUUUUUGAGCAUCUGAAUCUUAAUUCAUCUGUAAAUCGUUUUAAAUUUAUGAAGGAAGAUGUCAAAACAAGUUCUGAAUUAGUUCCACCAGACCUGAAGCCAGUACCUGGGAAAUUGAGAAAUCAUCAGGCCUUAUCUACACCAGAGAAGUGUCCUGCUUUUGUGAUUUUGCAUGUGUAUGUUUCAGUCCAAAGGAGUUUGCCUUCCAAGACAAUGUGGAAUCAGAAAUGGAGAACGCAGAGUCAGUUUUAGAAGUAGGAAAGUGGGUCCUUGUUCAAUAUGACAGAGAACUGUUCCCUUGCACCAUCACACAGGUAUGAAGAAGUAUGUGCUAUGGAUGUUGAUGUUGAGGAAAAAUCCAUACAUUUAUUUAUUUCUGUAUAUUUGUUUAUUGAUGUAUCUAUUUUUACUCUCUAGAUUGUAGACGGUCAGUAUGAAGUUGACAAAAUGAGUUGUGCUGGACCAAACAAAUUUUUAAUUCCAUCCAUAAGAUACGAGGGAGAAAACGUCUGGUACUACUUCGAUGACAUAAAAGGCAUCAUUCCAGAGCCACAACCUGCCACAUCCUCAGCUCGACACUUCUGUGUGUUGCCUGAGAUCUGGGCAAAGUACAAAUGUGUGUAAAACACUGACACCAUAUGAUGUUCAUUUGCAUACUACCUCCAAGAUGAUCCCAACACAGUGAAGCAGAGUGUCAUGGUUGUUAAGAAUUAAUAUACAUGUGACAAGUUCUGACAAAUCAAAAUGUGAUAUUUGUCCUUACUGGUCAGUUAUUGUUUUAGUGCCAUGUUUUUUAGUGCCAUGUUCAUGUUUUCACAUGUUGCCCUGUUUGUUAUGAUUUUAAAGUUUUUCUUAAAUUUUUAUUUUUUGGCUUUUGUAUUUUUGAAGCACUACACAAUAAAACUGUGUUGAACUUGAAUGCA
ensembl:lncRNA